rnacentral:tRNA from 1 species
AAUGAAGUGCCUGAAAAAGGAUUAUCUUGAUGGGAUAAAUGAUGUAAUUUAAGUAUUACCUUCAUUA